rnacentral:lncRNA from 1 species
AAUAUCAAUAAAGUACCUUCAAAAAAAAGUACUUUUUUUAGAAUGCAUAAAAUUGAAUGGAAUGAGCUUUAACCAAAAGUUGUUGAAUGCUACUUCAAAAAACUAUUUCUCUCCAAUUUAUUUCACAAGCACCUCUCUUCAACUCUCGCCGGCAACCUUUUGUUUUAUUUUUUCAAUAUGCUUUUUUCUUCCAUUUUAUUUUUUUAUUUUUUUUUAACCG